rnacentral:misc_RNA from 1 species
GAUGAAGAACGUAGCGAAAUGCGAUAAGUAGUGUGAAUUGCAGAAUUCAGUGAAUCAUCGAAUCUUUGAACGCACAUUGCGCCCCUUGGUAUCCCGAGGGGCAUGCCUGUUCGAGCGUCAUUUCACCACUCAAGCCUGGCUUGGUGUUGGGCGACGUCCUCUUUGGGGACGUGCCUCGAAACGCUCGGCGGCGUGGCACCGGCUUUAAGCGUAGCAGAAUCUUUCGCUUUGGAAGUCGGGGCCCCGUCUGCCGGAAGACCUGCUCGCAAGGUUGACCUCGGAUCAGGCAGGGAUACCCGCUGAACUUAAGCAUAUCAAUAAGCGGAGGA